GGUACUGAGUGGGAAUGAUUAGAAUAAAAUUGAGGACUCUAGCAGCGGACUUAGAAUGGUAUCAGCGGGUUCUCAUCCUACAACCUGACUUUGGAAGUUGGAGAUAAGGGGUGUCUAGGGGUUGGGUCAGACUCCAGUUUUGGAGUCUGACUCACAGUUGGGCGGAGCCAAGGCCCCCUGAGGCUGAGCCAGAACCUCUGAGAGUGAACCUGGAGACUCAGAGGGCAGCUGGCAGGGCUCACAGUGUGGGGUCCCACCCUGCAGAGGCUGGGUCAGGCCCUCAAGGGCUGGGUUGCUGGCUUCAAGAGGCUGGGCCAGGAUGUCAAGGGGCGGAGUUCCGGGUUCCACAGCUGGGACAGUGUUGCCCAGAGCUGAUUCCUGGGACUUGCAGAAACGUGCGAAGCUGCUCCUGCCGCACGUCCACCAGGUACCUGCAGAUGGGAAGCGCCCUGUCAGGGACCCAGAUUUUGAUCCCCAGCCAGGAUGUUCCCCACCCUCCACCCCACUGACUCACCGGGCUAAUUCCACAAUCAAGUUCCCUCCGGGUGCCACACAGGCCCCAAGCUCAGGGAUGAGAAGAUGGACCAUACUGCAGAGAGGACGGAGGACAGGCUGAGAUUCAGCUCCAAAUCCGGAGGGAGGAUGGGGCUCUGGGAUCCCAGACAAUGAGGGAGGAGGGGUGGCAAAACUGGAGUCUGGGUCCUGGGGAAAGAAGGGAGCAGGAGGUCUGGACUCCUGGGUCUGAGGGAGGAGGGGCUGGGGGCCUGGACCCCUGGGUCUAAGCAAGGAGGGGCUGGGGGCCUGGACUCCUGGGUCUGAGGGAGGAGGGGCUGGGGGCCUGAUCCUGGGUCUUUGUGAGCACAGCUGCCUCCCCGCUUACCCACAGGCCACAUAGAGGAGCUGGAAUCGGCCGUUGUAGCAGCUCUUGUGGUGGAGAGUCUGAGCAGAAUUGAGCGGCAGGAAGUGGACGGAGGCUCUCGUCGUCCGCUUCGAUGCCGAAGGCCACGAAGGGCCCCGUGGCGAUGUCCCCCCAGUACCCGCGCGCUGCCACGCGCUCCCCACGCUGGAAAAGGAGGGAGAGAGGAGGCAGGUAAUCUAGAGAUGAUUUGCGGUGUAUGGGACCAUGUGUACAGGCUAUUUAUGGAGGUUUUGCUUUUGUCGCCCAGGCUGGAGUGCAGUGGUGUGAUCUCGGCUCACUGCAACCUCUGCCUCCCGGGUUCAAGUGAUUCUCCUGCUUCAGCCUCCCGAGUAGCUGGGACUACAGGCGCCUGCCACCACACCCGGCUAAUUGUUGUAUGUUUAGUAGAGACGGGGUUUCACCAUGUUGAGCAGGAUGGUCUCGAUCUCCUGACCUCGUGAUCUGCCCACCUCAGCCUCCCAAAGUGCUGGGAUUACAGGUGUGAACCACUGCACCCAGCCUCUCCUGGAAUUUUCUAAGUGGCUCUAAGAUGUAUUAUAUUUAGCCCCAUUUUACAGGUAGGAGGAGCUGAGGCUCUAAGAUGGCAAAUUACAUCAGAGGGGACCAUCAUCAAUAAAUAUAUUGGAUUUUUUUUUUCAUCAGAGGUACCACACUGGAAAAUACCAAACAUUUUUGGUUUUUAGAUGGAGUUUCGCUCUCUUUUUUUUUUUUUUUUUUUUUUUUUUGAGACGGAGUCUCGCUCUGUCACCCUGGCUGGAGUGCAGUGGCGCGAUCUCAGCUCACUGCAAGCUCCGCCUGCCGGGUUCACGCCAUUCUCCUGCCUCGGCCUCCCAAAGUGCUGGGAUUAACAGGCGUGAGCCACCGCGCCCGGCCGGAGUUUCGCUCUUGUUGCCUAGGCUGGAGUGCAAUGGCGCGAUCUCGGCUCACUGUAACCUCCGCCUCCCAGGAAAAUAACCAAACUUUUUAAUUGUACCAUUGAAAUGCCAGAAUCCCUCUAGGGAGGGGGAGGAGACCAGCGGUCAGAAUGCCUGGGUCCUAGCAACAGACCUUGCAGCCCCAUCUUCUCCGGUUCCUCCAGGGCUAGGCUGAAGAUCAGCAUGUGUCGGGCCACAGCUUCCAGAUUAUUCUCCAGCACAAAGAACUAGAAGGAUGGACAGGGCAGAAUAAUUCUGAGACCUGUUUGCCUGGGUCCUAGGAGACCCAGGAGAGCAGGCCCUCAGCUCUCUCCUUCCACACACCCGAGUUCUGUACACCAGCCUCUUCCUUCAAACACAGAAGUCUGUGUCCCCAGAGCUCUCUUCCCUUCCAUUACUCAGAAGACCUCAUCCUCGAGCUCUUCCCCACUAUAGAACCCAGGAGUUCCAAACCCCAGCCCCUUCCUUCCCCCAAGACGCAUCGGUUCGCUCCCAGCUUCUGCCUCCCUCAGAUCUAGGAGUCUCCAGCCCCUUCAUUCCUGGACCUGAGGUUUUAGAAUUUCAAUCCCUUCCUCCCUCAAGGACUCGGGAAUCUGGGCUCUCAUCUUCAUCCCAGCUCACGUUGAACCUCCUGCGAGGCCAGAACUUCGCUCGGGACAGGGUCCGCAGCAGGUGCCGUCCAUCCACAGAGCCCAGAAGCAGCACAUCUAGCUCGGGGUUGCUGUGCACUGUAUCGGCCUGGGAGUCUGGGUCCACAGGAGGACCUGGCAAGAUGACAGCUGGCUGGGGCACCAUGGUGGUUGGCAGAGCGUCCACCGUAGCAUCCCCUAUAAAAAAUGGACUACAAAUCCCAG
rnacentral:lncRNA from 1 species